CUCCGUCUGCAAACGGGUCCAUUUCAGAGGAGGAGGAGGGAGGACAAACAACUGUUAGAGAACAUUGUGGCCUCUGCUGUGUUCAGCAGGGCCUUGGAUGACAAAAAACACGCAUGUGGCAUUCACAGAGUCACACAGAAAACUAUCAGACAUCAUCGUAACAAUACAAGAGCGCUGGUGGAGGCCACUCAAAAUUAGGCGUUUAAAUAUGUCCUAUCCUGAUGGAGCUGAAGUAUGAUGGGAGAAUCAGAAAAAUCCUAAACCCGCUUUUUUUAGAAUAAGCGGGUUUGUGACGAAUUUCUUCAUAUUUAGUAAUGUUACAGCUGUCAGUGGACAUUAGUUUUUUUUUAUAUAUAUAUAUAUAUAUUGUAUCUGAUAAAUAAAACUGGAAAUAAACAUAUUUAUUUCCAUCUUUUUUCCAUUUGUUCUUAGAGGGGAAAGGGGAAGUUGGUCAUGUCAUAGUGAUGCAGCAAAGGAUUGUGGGGGAAUUUAACUGAUGCAAAGAAGCAGCACCCCAUCAGCGGUGUGGUAGUCUUCUUUCAAAGUGUCAAAAGGGUUAAAAAUCAGUUGUCGGCUAUUGCAGCAGUUUUAAUCUCGAAUGUCAACAUGGACCCAAAUUUUUGCAUCAGUGCAUCCAUAGAUAUAGCAAAAAAAUUUCAAUGUAUUUUAUUUGGAUUUUAUGCAAAUAUGUAAUGCAAUUGUGAAGCAGAAGGAAAAUAAUAUAUUUUUUUAUAUUUUGCAAAAAGUGCUUCAUUUGUUUCCAUUUAGCCACCUUAACAGAUACAUGCCCUUAAAUAAGAUCAAUUGCAAACAACAGCCAUCAGAAGUCCCCUAAUUAGUAGUUAGAAUUAGCUUGUGUGUAAUUUAGCCUUACUAUAAUUAAAGUGCUCAGUGUUUUGUUAGAGAACAAACAGCAUCAUUAUUAGGACCAAGGAACACAUCACAUGGAUUUGGGAGGCAGGUGUGGAGAAGGUUCCAAGCAUUGGAAGGGCCUAUCUAAAGGCCAGACCUUAAUAUAACUGAGAUUUUACUGACAUGACUCAAUUGAUGUUAACAGGUGUUUUCCAUACUAUUUAAUAUAUUUUUUUGUGAACAGUGAAAAAUCAUGGAUCCUUCCCUCCGCUUCACAGUGAUGCACCACUGUGUCUGUCUACCAUAUAAAAGCCCAUUAAAUAUAAUAAUAUAUGAUCAGUAAUUUGGAAAUAAAUAGCUCAGCACUGCAUGUCUGUUUCAUCUGAAGUAAAUCAAAGUGAUGAAGCACUAAUCAGUAUUAUUUCCCAAGCUGAAUGCUGAUUAAAUCCUGGAUAAUGCAAACCCCACAUCCCCAUGUCCAGCCCUUUAGAAAAAACAUAAAUAAAUGCUUAAAAUUGAGUGGUGCCCCAUUCACCGCAUAAUAAUUCAUUCACAGUCUGUCGCCAAGAACCAACUCCCUCCUCGUAACAUACAGAAAGCACAGUGGCUGCUAAAGACAAUCAAAUUACAGUUAACAAAAUUACACCCUGACUUUAAGUCCAGUCUGACUUUGGCAAGUCAGCAAUGCAGAGACAUAAAAGAGCAGAUUUUACUGUGACAUGUAUUAUUAAUGUCAUCUACAUUAGCCAUAUUGGAGGAAGAGGAGGAGGGAGUGUGGGGGCAAACAGGAGGUAAGAGAAAGAAUGCAUCUGAUGCUUGCAUCUGAUGGAGAAUGAAAGAGAAAUAUAUCAGAUGUCCUAAAGGUCACAGACACAGAGAACAAUUCAGAAAGGAGUAAAACCAGGAAGAGCAGAGAAAGGUUGGAGGCGUAAUAAAGGAACUGAAAGGAAGCCGUCUCGGUUUGUGUGUUAAUGCCAGACCAAAAAAUCAAAAGGGCAAACAAACAAGCAUUGCUCCGGUAGAAAGGUAUCCUACAUACAGCCACAAAUACCCAGAGACACACUGGGCCUCGUUAUUAUUGCCAUUAUCAGAACUGAGGCACAGAGCACAUUAAAUAUAAUGGCUUACUUUCCCCCUGGCCUGAGUCAAGGACAAAAACAGCCCCACAGAACAGCCUGACUCACCUUGACAAAAAGCAAAUGCUAUAAAGAUCAAAGAGAGGGAGCAAAUGGCAUAUUUAUCUGGUAAAAUAAGAAAUCUUGGACCAGUUCAGGGCCAAACAAACUAGUAAACUCUCCACAGAUCUUCCUUUUAAGAUCUCAAUCUGGAGUCAGUCUAUUCUCUCUCUUACACAGAGAGCUGUGAACACACAUCAAACUAUGAAUCAUAUUUAUCAUCGGCAAGCUAUAUGAAAGCGCCAUUAUGCAGCAGUAAAUGUAAAGAUGCUUUCCAGCCUUUCAUAGUGGAACUGGAGUAAAAAUAAUAGUGAGAAUUCACCUCUAACUGCUGAAUGAACCUCUUUAAAGUUCACUUCAUCUACUGGAUUGGUAUUUUUAUUCAGAAUUUGCUGCUAUGAAACUGGACUGGCCUGGCUCACAUGCAUCAGUUAUUUCUAUUUGGUCUGAUCCAUCUGCAACACAUAGUCCAAAAGCCUUUUGGUUGAUCGUCGUCAUAUUCAGCAAACUGGAGAGAGUUAGCAAGGGAAAUUUUGGAAAGCAACCGUUAAAUUCAAAGCAUUGUUGCUGUGAAAAAACGAGGCUCUAGAACACCAAAAUUCAAUAUGAUACUAUAAUUAUUACCGUUUUGCCAAAAACUAACCCCGAGUCUACAUUUUCUUUUAAAGCCACUGAUACUAAAAUGACUGAAAGCUGAUAAAUUAAUGUAGAAACUCGGUGUGUCAGUGUCAUUUUUGAUUGUUUGCUGUCUGAAUAAAUCCUCCGGGAUGGUGAUGCGCCUCAUACAUCUCUUCACAUGCCAGCUAAGUUAUAGCCAAGUCCACCAGCUGCACACAGAUGAAUAACUGAGCUGGCCCACCAGCAUGUGAGAUGAGGCAGAAACAUAGUGCUGACAGAGCUGCUGGCUGAACUCUGAGCUCUGCUGGAGGUUGGACAGUGAAAUGUACUGCUGUCAUACAGACACACAGAGAGGGUGAAAGGUUUGGCCGGGUCUAAUCUUUCCACUGAAUAUCAGCACAUUAGGCCCCAUCCGGCCAAGAUUCAAGAGGAAUAGGAAAGAAACAAACGAGGCUCAUGUGAGACUGGAUGAAUGUCUUAGGACUUAUGACAAUCGCCACAUUGAUGUCAUACUAGAAAAUGAGGCUGUCAGACUUCACCUUUAAUGCACACCAGGGCAUCUGGCUAGGGUGCCGAUGGCUGCUUAAACUUGGCCUUCAAUGUGUGUAGAGAAUGCAGUGCUUUGUCACAGAUGGGAUCUGUGGCCAACACUGCAGCAGCUCGGUAGAAGAGCAGACAGGAAACUGAAGGGAGGAAGGAAGAAAGGACAGGCUAAGCUUUGCUUAAUUUGAAACAUUAAUAUUCAGGUUCUCAGUAGCUUUAGACGCAAGUUGAAAUAACCUGACAAACUUAAGUGUAAGGAGAAAUGAGUCCAACUGGAUCAACAUAUACAGCAUGAGAACAAAAUGACUGAAGGAUGUAGUGAAUAAAAAUGCUAUAAAUCAGAAUCAGCACCUGUAUGUCCCCUGUGCCACACUGUGUGAUGUGUUAGCUUAAGGGUUUCUGUCACUUUAUCCGGUACAAUACAAUACACAGGUUUCAGGGGAAACACAAUUCAGAAUGACUUGCUUGGGGCUAAAGGUAACUGUUGUCUGACUUGGAUAUUUCUGGACUGUGGCUCAAAGCUCUGACUGUGUAAGAGGAAAGCUAGAAAGCGCUGUGCUGAAAAACACUAAAGGAAAACCAUGAAGCAUCUUUCACCACCUUAGAGAUCAAAAGUCAACAUUUACUGAUGCAUACUGGUGCAUGGUAAUAAAUUGGGAUCAAAAGAGACCACCGUUUGCAGGUGAACAGAUUGGUGUGUGUGUGUGUGUAGGAUAAAUUAAUGCAUUCGCUCUCCACCUCUAAUCCCUGGGGUAAAUGGAUAGCAGGUGCUAUGCUAAUAACUCUUGAUUACUCAGGGAGCACAUUUUGAAAAAUGACUCCUUAUGUGGAACACUUAUCAGCAAAUUUUAUUUGCUUAAGAAAGUGAAGCGUCUUAUCCCAAAGAAGAGUAAACAAAAUGAGCCGAGAGGCUUUAGAGAAAACCCAACUUCUAAUGAGUUUAAAGAGGAGAUGCAGAAAGAAAGAACUAGCUUUGACGGAGAGAAAAACAGACGGAAAGGUUAGAGAAAGACAGAACAUUAAACCAAACACUGCCAUGAAAAGUUCUUCAGCCUUGCAGAUUUUGUCUUUUUUUGCAUUCGUUUCAUAUCAUCAAACACAUUUUAACUUCAAAUAACCCGAGCAAAUACAAACCAUAGUGUUCAAAAGAUAAUUUCAUUUAUUAAUGUAACAGAGCUAUUCAAAACAUAAUGACUGUAUGUGAAAAAGUUAAGUCAAUUACAGUCUUAGGAGCAAUAACAGUAAUCAAGUGUUUGCAGUAAUUGGAAUAACUUUUUUUUUUUACAUCACUAUGGAUAAAUUUUGACUCAUUUUUCAAACAAUUAUGGAGGGUUUUCAAGUUCCCAUCUGAGCCAUCAGACCGUCACACUACGACCAUUAUUCUUGACUUUUCAAAAUUCAAAUUUACCCCAGAUAUGAUGGGACACGCUCAAAUCAAUUAGCCAAGCUUCUUUCUUAUUGUUGAGUCAUGAACACUAACUUCAAAUUAGGUAAAUGCAUUCUGCUAGCAUGUUAAGAUAUUCUUUGGGGUUCUAUUGUGCUCUUCUAGAUGAGUUGAUGUACUCAGAGUUUUCUUCAUUUAAGGUCUACAGGAGUCACAAAUCCUCCAAAAUGAAUUUUUAACCAUUACUUAACUGAUAAACAUAAGAAAUUUUGAUUCUAAUCUGAGUUUGGAACACGACACGUUGCUUUCUGAAAUAUUUUAGCCUAUUGGAUGUUGUCAGACAGGUCCUGUUGAGUGAGUUUCUUAAUUGUGCAGGUCAGGCAGUAAUCAGUUCUUGCAGAGGUGAUCAGGGAAUUUUCUGAAAACGUCAUUUUGUAUUUACUAAAGUUAUCCUUGUCUAACUUUAAAUAUGUUUGAUGAUCAAAAACAUAACACAUCUGAAAGGGGAACAUGUGUUUUCCAGACCCGUGUACACAUAUUUUAAAAUAAAAACACAGCUGUCAUGAUCAAAAUGGUUUCCUGGAAGCUUCCUGUGAAAUCAGAAAAGGUCAACAUGACAUGAGUUGAUGUAAAAAGAGGCUCGUUUCUCGUCCAAACUCCAUCGGACUGACAGCAGUGGAUUCUCCAUCUUAGUAGGUCACACUGAAAACAGUUUAGCUCCACAAAGAGAAAUACAGAAGACCACAGCAUGAACACUGGGAAAAAAAAUUAGAUGAACAGAUCAAGUCCUGGUUUCAGGAGCUCUGAACCAUGCUCUACGAAGAAAAAAAAAAAAAAGAAAGAAAAAAAAAUCAUGCAGGAAUGACAUCUCAACAAUCCAGAGGAUGGAUUUGUGAAGGCUCGCAAGCACAUCAAAACAGCCUUGACAUUUGCUAACAAAGCAGUUUCCUAGAUCCAAACCCACGCCGCGAUGCCACCAUGCGCAGGAAGGAGGCGCCACCACCGGCUACUUUCCUCUGAGGCACAGGCAAAAAGAGCAGUGCAUGCUGGAGAGAGCAGCUGGAGCACCAAAGCAUGUGGAAACUAGAGCUGAUACUUCUUAGAGGAAAUGACAGGAUGAGGAGAAAAGGUGCGUUUCCAAAGCAAGACAGAGGGAGUUGCAGGGGAACAGCACAGCUAUGAUCUGCCAUCGACUUUAUGAAUUUGUCAUUUUUAGCUGCUCUUUGCGUCUCAGCUCGCAAGGAUCGACUUUCUUCAUAAAGUUCAACUAUACACCUAAACGAAACACACUUUAGGGGAGUGACUGCUGUCAUGAAAAUUAUGUAGCAGUGCUGCAGCGUUUAAUAAUCCCUGCAGAGGCAAAGUAUAGUCCUCACUUUUAAUAAUUCAGCAGGGCAGGUAUGCCACGCAGCUGCCUGGAACAAGCUAAACAAAAGGGCACCUGGAAGGUCGCUAGCACAAAGUCAAAGAACAAUGCAAAGCCUCAUGCAGGCACACACACAGGUGGGGAGUACAGCCACUUCACUGCAUGGCACCGCCUAUUCUUCUCAUGGUGAACAGGUUGCAACCUGGCCUUUGCUGCGCUCGCCUUAUCUUCUCAUUACCCAGACUGACGGAGGUAUCCAGACCAGGAAACAGGUCUAAUCAUUCUGCAGAUAAAGGAGUAGGCCAAAGCUCUCCUCAUUGAUCAUGUGGUGGUUAUAGAAAGUAUUCACACCCCUGGGAGCAGCAACAGUAAAAGUGUUACUUUUACAGCGUUCCAUAACGUUGUGGAACGAUUUUCUGUUACAUAUUUGAAGUGACCAAUUUUAAAACACACUUUUAACACACGUUGAGACUUUUGACCUUACUUCCUUUAGUGUUUUCUUGUUCUUAUUGUGUUUUAUCUGCUCCAUAUUUUGAGUGUAUUGAUUUUAAUCUGUACAGCACUUUGUCGCUGCUGUUGUUUUAAAGUGCUUUAUAAAUAAAGUAGUAGUAGUUGGAUGUUUUAACCUUUUACAAAUCAAUCAUAAUAAAUGUUUUCUGAAGGUGUAGUUCUCCUGCAGAUUGAAACAAAAUGUCCUCCAAGACUUCAUGUUUAAUCUUCUACCUUUACAAGCCUUCCAGGGCUGCUGCCAGGAAGGAUCCCCACAGCAUGAUGUGGCCACCACCAUGUUUCACAGAGAGGAUGGCGUGUUUGUGGUGAUGAGUGCCACACACAGUAUCUUGUUUUAUGGCCAAAAAGCUACAUUUUGGUCUCAUCACACCAAAGAACUUUCUUCCACUUGUGCCUUGAUAUGAGAUUUCUCACUGCUUCUCUCCCAUAAAGCUUUGACUGGUAAAAACCCAGCCAACAGUUGUCAUCUGCUGCGUAGUCAUGUAGUCAUGGUAACCUGGUGUCUGCUCUCACUAACCUCCUUGAUGCACAUUCACUCGGGAUGUAAGGAUGGCCUGAUCUAGUUACAGUUAGACAUCCUUCCAUUUCUUGACGGUGGAUUUAACUUAACUCCAGCGAUAUUCAGUGCCUUACAGAUUUUUAUAUCCACCCCCUGACUGAUACUUUUCAAUAACCUUUUCUUCAAUUUGCUGGAUUGUUCUUGUGGAUCCAGUUGCCAGGAAUACUAAUCAACUCAUUGAGAGAGUCUAGCACCAAUUGACUGGAUCUCUGUUGAUUUAGGUCAGCCACUUUAAAGAGGGUGAAUAUUUAGUGUUAUAUUUUUUAUCAUCAUUUUGUAGAAAUCAGUUUUCACUUUGACAUUAAAGGUGUUUUUGUUUUGUUUUUUUCUGUCAAUAAAGCAAAGUUUUGUUGAUUAUAGUUGAUUUGUAGAAGCAAAACAAUUAUGUAAGUACUUUUUUGGCACUAUAUUGGAAAAUUACGAAGGGAUACUGAGCUGUGUAUUUCUAUAUGAUGUGAGCAGCUACAGAGUCCUUAAAAGUAAUGCUUAAGAACAAGACCUUUGAGAGGAAUUUUUUAGGCUUUUCCUCCAUUAAUUCCUUUUACCCUUUAAAAUAAAAUAUUUUAUUGCAGCAUCUUACACUGAACUUGUAUAGAAAUCCAAUAUUUGCACCACUAAAUCAGUGGAUAAAAAAUAUACCACAUAAAAAAAUAAUAGUUUCUUAUAAAAAUCCCCAGAGCCAAUCUUAUCGGUAGCAGUUUGUCUUCUAUGACAUUUCACAAGGUUGGAGCAUACAAAGAGGAGCAUCUUUAACCGUUUCUCUUAGAACAAUCUAGAUUAUCCUUAUAUACACAUUUUAAGUUGCAACCCAGUCUUUUCUGGUUGUAAAAAAAUUAAAUGCACUGUCUGGCUGCAGUCCUGUCCAAAGCAACUAUAAACUAAAGUGAAGCCAUAAUCUGCCAAAUCUGCCGCAGUCUUACACUUGCUGAAGCUGAGAUUUGCUAAAAA